UUACAUUUGUAGGCUUCUCAGUCAAGGACCUGACACUUUGCCCAAACAGAAUAAGUUCACGGGAUCUACAGGGGUAUGAAUGUAUAAAUACCAGGAGUGCUCCAUCAUUACUACUGUGGUUUGACUUGUCUACCUCUGAAAACAGCUCAAAAUGCGCUUGUGCCUUGUCCUCCUGCUUGUGGCCACGGCCGUGAUCCAGUCAGAUGCCUGGCGGCGGAGAAUUAGAUGGAGAAGAGUUGCCAGUGUAGCACUGAAAGUCGCACCAAUACUCCUGGGCAAACGUAAUGUGGAUAGCCUUGAUACAAACAAGGAUGGGACAAUUGAUCAAUCAGAAUCUGAGACGCUAAUGGACAGACGAUCGGCCAUGGACCUCCUUUCGUUCGCUGAUGAAAAUGGAGACUCAAGCGUGAGUUUAGAAGAGUUCUCAAGGAGCAUCGACUAUCUUGGGCAGUGAGUUAAAGAUCCUUCCAUUGAAGAGGCUUUGAUGUCGCCCUUUGAAAACGACCUUGAGGAUGAUACUGAAUAGUUUUCCUCAUACGUAAAUGAUUUCAAUAAAUCAUAGCAAUCAA